UGAAAAUAAUAGCGGUGCAGAGGAGAGCUCCGCUCAGUUGAGUCAGAGGGAAGAAAAUCUUAGGAAGGACCGAAACGGAGGGAGAGAGUCGGUCACUGAUGGACGAACAAUGCAGUAUUUGAGACAUUUUUCCAGUUAUCGUGGAAUCUUAGGGAGAGGAACUUCAACUCUCCCACCUUCCCUCCCUUCUCCAGGGAGAGGGGCCUCCUUCCACGCUUGACCCAGACUCAAUCUGCUGCAGAGGGACAGAGUGACUAUGCUUCUGGAUACAGAGCAGGAACGCCAGAGCUGUCUGGUCCGCCCUGCAGGCCGGUCCCAUGGUGAGGGCGGAGAGGAGAUCAGACGUCCCCUCACACAUACUGUCCUUCAGAUACAUCUCCAUGGGGGCAUCAUUAAUCUGGACCUCAUAGAAACACAGAAG
ensembl:lncRNA